rnacentral:rRNA from 1 species
GUAGUCAUAUGCUUGUCUCAAAGAUUAAGCCAUGCACGUCUAAGUAUAAAUGAGAUUAUACAGUGAAACUGCGAAUGGCUCAUUAAAUCAGUUAUAGUUUAUUUGAUGAUACCUUGCUACAUGGGUAACUGUGGUAAUUCUAGAGCUAAUACAUGCAAUCAAGCCCUGACUUUUGGAAGGGGUGAAUUUAUUAGAUAAAAAACCAACGCGGUUCGCCGCUCCCUUGGUGAUUCAUAAUAACUCCUCGAAUCGCAUGGCCUUGUGCUGGCGAUGCUUCAUUCAAAUAUCUGCCCUAUCGACUUUCGAUGGUAGGAUAAAGGCCUACCAUGGUUUCAACGGGUAACGGGGAAU